GCAAGUCGAACGGUGAACACGGAGCUUGCUCUGUGGGAUCAGUGGCGAACGGGUGAGUAACACGUGAGCAACCUGCCCCUGACUCUGGGAUAAGCGCUGGAAACGGCGUCUAAUACUGGAUACGAACCAUGAAGGCAUCUUCAGUGGUUGGAAAGAUUUAUUGGUUGGGGAUGGGCUCGCGGCCUAUCAGCUUGUUGGUGAGGUAAUGGCUCACCAAGGCGUCGACGGGUAGCCGGCCUGAGAGGGUGACCGGCCACACUGGGACUGAGACACGGCCCAGACUCCUACGGGAGGCAGCAGUGGGGAAUAUUGCACAAUGGGCGCAAGCCUGAUGCAGCAACGCCGCGUGAGGGAUGACGGCCUUCGGGUUGUAAACCUCUUUUAGCAGGGAAGAAGCGAAAGUGACGGUACCUGCAGAAAAAGCGCCGGCUAACUACGUGCCAGCAGCCGCGGUAAUACGUAGGGCGCAAGCGUUAUCCGGAAUUAUUGGGCGUAAAGAGCUCGUAGGCGGUUUGUCGCGUCUGCUGUGAAAUCCGGAGGCUCAACCUCCGGCCUGCAGUGGGUACGGGCAGACUAGAGUGCGGUAGGGGAGAUUGGAAUUCCUGGUGUAGCGGUGGAAUGCGCAGAUAUCAGGAGGAACACCGAUGGCGAAGGCAGAUCUCUGGGCCGUAACUGACGCUGAGGAGCGAAAGGGUGGGGAGCAAACAGGCUUAGAUACCCUGGUAGUCCACCCCGUAAACGUUGGGAACUAGUUGUGGGGUCCAUUCCACGGAUUCCGUGACGCAGCUAACGCAUUAAGUUCCCCGCCUGGGGAGUACGGCCGCAGGCUA
rnacentral:rRNA from 1 species